rnacentral:rRNA from 1 species
UACGUAGGGGGCAAGCGUUGUCCGGAAUCAUUGGGCGUAAAGAGCGUGUAGGCGGUUCGGUAAGUCCGCUGUGAAAGUCCAGGGCUCAACCCUGGGAUGCCGGUGGAUACUGUCGGGCUCGAGUCCGGAAGAGGAGUGUGGAAUUCCAGGUGUAGCGGUGAAAUGCGUAGAUAUCUGGAGGAACACCGGUGGCGAAGGCGGCAUCCUGGACCGGUAUUGACGCUGAGGCGCGAAAGCUAGGGGAGCAAACGGG